CAAGGCAGUGGAUUUGUGAACCU
rnacentral:tRNA from 3 species